GGGUUGUGAGGUUAAGCGACUAAGCGUACACGGUGGAUGCCCUGGCAGUCAGAGGCGAUGAAGGACGUGCUAAUCUGCGAAAAGCGUCGGUAAGGUGAUAUGAACCGUUAUAGCCGGCGAUGUCCGAAUGGGGAAACCCAGUGCAAUUCGUUGCACUAUCGUUUGAUGAAUACAUAGUCAAACGAGGCGAACCGGGGGAACUGAAACAUCUAAGUACCCCGAGGAAAAGAAAUCAACCGAGAUUCCCCCAGUAGCGGCGAGCGAACGGGGAGCAGCCCGGAGUCUGAAUCAGCUU
rnacentral:rRNA from 1 species